UAAACUAUACUUCACAGGAUCAUUUCUGUAGUCAGUCUUCACAUACUUUCACACUAGAUGAAAACCGAGUUUAAAGCAAGGU